UAAACUGUUCAACACCAAAAACUCCGAACUCUUCCGCUGCAAUCGGAUAUGAAACGGCCAAAGUGAUUCCGAAGCUUCGGUUGACAGGCAGUGAAAAUGGCAAAUCUGAAGCUUAAAUGCCUCCGCACACACGCUCACGAAGUUGGCAAAUAUUUUGUUGAAUUGUUGUUGAAUCUCUAAACGAAUUAAAACCCGAGUCCGUAUUCACUUGUUCCGCUCAAUCGGAAA